AGAAUCAACGCUGGCGGCGUGCCUAACACAUGCAAGUCGAACGCGAAAGUCCCGCAAGGGGCAAGUAGAGUGGCAAACGGGUGAGUAACGCGUGGGCGACCUACCUCUGAGUGGGGGAUAACCGUUCCGAAAGGAGGGCUAAUACCGCAUGACAUUCCGCCUUUAGAUAGGCGGUCAUCAAAGCCGGGGAUCGCAAGACCUGGCGCUUGGAGAGGGGCCCGCGUCCGAUUAGCUAGUUGGUGAGGUAACGGCUCACCAAGGCUCCGAUCGGUA
rnacentral:rRNA from 1 species